GCUGAUAUAGCUCAGUUGGUAGAGCAACUGCCUUGUAAGCAGUAGGUCGGGGGUUCGAGUCCGUCUAUCAGCUCCA
rnacentral:tRNA from 1 species